AAAUCAUGCAUUGAACAUUUACGUGGCAAAUCCUUAAAAUGUUCUCAUACUUUGUAUAAGUUAUCAUCUUCCAAAUGCUUAAAGGAUUUUAAAUCAUUUCUGAUCUU